CUGGUGCCUUUGGAAUCUUAUUCCAGAGCUUAAAAGGGAAGUCGGUACGUUUUAACAAAGCCGACGCUGCCCCCGCAACGGUAGAUAAGUUAAAGAGCUAUCACAUGUCACUGUAUUUUAAGGAUAUGGGAAGACGAUAGUUCUGGUAAAAACCGCUUAUGAGCCCGGAGACCUGCCUGAAAGU
rnacentral:ncRNA from 1 species